GCGGCGUGCGCCUUUCCAGUUUCCCCUCCUCCCAAACUGUGGCUCUCUCAAUUCCCAAAUUCCCGUCUAAAACUCCCAAGUCAGGAAGCCCUAGCUAGCAACAAAAGGAGAAUCGGAGUUCGGAGACCGGCAUCGCGGGCAGCCUGACUUCAAGCCAGUACUGCUGUACUGCUUCAAGCUUCGGAUCAGAGAGGAAAACGAGGGUUUGACGGACGAGAAUUGUUGCAAAAAUGAAGAGGGCAGGAGGAGACAUUGCGUCUCUUUUUUUGAGACAUGCAGCAAAGAAGAAGGUUGCUCCACCUUUUUCAGCUCCUUCCUCGGUACAGUUAGACAAUGUGGUGCGAGAGCAAACUCCAGAACCGCCGCCGCCGCCGCCGCCGUCGCCCCCACAGCCGCCUGUUUUUGACACUAAUCGUCUUCCGCAUGAUCCGGGGGAUAGACUGCCCAUUGCAUCUUAUCCGAUCAAUGAUCAAGAUGCAGUUCGAAGAGCAUAUAUUCUAAAAGGUCCGUACCAACCUUAUGCACACAAAUUUGAAAGCAAGAAAAAUGGGGGCAGAGAACGGUACUUCAAUCCUUUUUGGUUUCAUCAACAUCAUUGGCUUGAAUAUAGUAUCAGCAAGAAAUCUGCAUUUUGCUUUGUAUGCUACUUGUUCAAAGAAAAGAAAACUAGUGGCAACAAAACUAAUACAUUUACUGAUGGUGGUUGGACAACUUGGAAUAAAAAUCUGGCACUUGAUAAGCAUGAAGGUGGUGUAGCAAGUGUGCACCAGGCAGCUCAAGAGAGAUAUAAUUUGUUUGUGACUCCACGUGCUUCCCAAAUUGAUAAUCUUAUUGUGAAGGUGAAUAAUGAGGAUCUACGUCUUUACAAGAUCAGGUUGGCUUAUUCACUUAGAUGUUUGAAGUUUCUUUUGCAUCAAGGAUUGGCAUUCCGUGGACACAGGGAAAUGAAGAGUCCAACAAUAGAUGAAAUUUCACUGAGCUUUUGAAAUGGCUUGCAGCAAAUAACGAAGAGGUGAAUAAGUAUGUUUUGAAGAAUGCCCCAGGUAAUUGCACAUUGACUUCUCCUGAUAUACAACAUCAAAUUAUUCAAUGUUGUGCGCUAGAAACUAGAAAGCAAAUUCUUGAUGAACUUGGUGAUGAUCACUAUACUAUUCUAGCGGACGAGUCUAGUGAUGUAGUACACAAAGAACAAUUGGCAUUAUGCUUGCGUUUUGUUGAUAAACUAGGAAGGCCAUGUGAGCACUUUCUUGGAGUUGUUCAUGUAAGUGACACUACAUCAUUGUCACUUAAAAAUGCAAUUGAAGAUUUUCUUGUGCAUCACCAUUUGACUAUGACUCAAAUCCGUGGGCAAGGUUAUGAUGGGGCUAGCAACGUGAAAGGGGAGAUUAAAGGACUAAAAACAUUAAUCAUGAAAGAGUCACCUUCUGCUUAUUAUGUCCAUUGUUUUGCACAUCAACUCCAGCUAGUUCUUGUUGCUGUUGCUAAGGGAAAUGAUGAUUGCGUAUGGUUUUUUGAUCGAGUUUCCCUAUUGCUGAACAUCGUUGGAGUUUCUUGUAAGCGCCAUGAUAUGCUUCGGAAUGCUAGACUUCAGAAUAUCAUGAAAGCACUUGAAUGUGGUGAACUAGAAACUAGGACUGGAUUAAAUCAAGAGAUGGGAUUACCCAAGCCCGGUGAAACUCGUUGGGGCUCUCAUUACAGAACCGUUGUCAACAUUAUUAAUAUGUAUGCUGAAAUCCGUGAAGUACUUAUAUCUCUUGGAAAAGAUACUUCACAAAGAGGAGAUUGGCCUAAAAUACAUAGUAUUGUUGGAGUGUUUGAGUCAUUUGACUUCAUUUUCAAUGCACACUUUGAUGCGUCUCAUUCUUGGAUAUACAAAUGAUUUGUCUGAGUGUUUGCAAAGAAGAGACCAAGAUAUUCUCAAUGCAAUGAGACUUGUUAAAUUGGCAAAGAGCAGAAUGCAACAAUUAAGGGCCGAUGGUUAGGUUUCAUUUCUUCAAAGGGUCACUUCAUUUUGCAAUAAACAUGGCAUUGAUGUUCCUGCAAUGGAGAGUAAUUAUGUGCCUUAUGGAAGAUCAACACGGUUUGUUCAACCCCAAACAAACGAGGACCACUUUAGAAGAGAAGUUUAUAUUGGAAUCAUUGAUAAAAUUAGUCAAGAGCUUGAUAAUCGAUUUGAUGAGAUCAAUAUGGAGUUGCUUUCUUGUAUGUCAGCUCUGCAUCCUUCGAACUCCUUUGCUGCUUUUGAUGCGCAAAAGGUACGCAGACUUGCUGACUUCUAACUUGAUAACUAUAUUGAUGACAUGAGAAAAGAUGAUAAUUUCAAUGGUAUAGAAAAUCUUGUUGAUCUCUCAGUUAAGCUUGUUCAAACAAGGAGGCACAUAGUUUAUAAUUUGGUGUGCUUGCUUCUCAAAUUGGUAUUAUUGCUUCCAGUGGCGACGGCAAGUGUUGAAAGAGCAUUUUCUUCAAUGAGUUUAGUCAAGAGCAGGUUGAGAAAUAAGAUGGGUGAUAGUCUUUUGGAUGACUGUCUGGUCACAUAUAUUGAACGUGAUGAUUUCUCCAAAGUGAGUGAAGAUGAUAUAAUCAAGACUUUUAUGGUCAUGAGAAAUCGGUAUCCGGACAAAUAAGAUGUGCAUCGCUUCCUUUUAUGUAUAUUCCAUCAUAACAUAUAAAUUAUAUGUGUUUUUGUUGAA